rnacentral:rRNA from 1 species
AACGAACGCUGGCGGCAGGCUUAACACAUGCAAGUCGAACGCCCCGCAAGGGGAGUGGCAGACGGGUGAGUAACGCGUGGGAACGUACCUUUCAGUUCGGAAUAACUCAGGGAAACUUGUGCUAAUACCGGAUACGUCCGUAAGGAGAAAGAUUUAUCGCUGAAAGAUCGGCCCGCGUUGGAUUAGCUAGUUGGUGGGGUAAUGGCCUACCAAGGCGACGAUCCAUAGCUGGUCUGAGAGGAUGAUCAGCCACACUGGGACUGAGACACGGCCCAGACUCCUACGGGAGGCAGCAGUGGGGAAUAUUGGACAAUGGGCGAAAGCCUGAUCCAGCCAUGCCGCGUGAGUGAUGAAGGCCCUAGGGUUGUAAAGCUCUUUCACCGAUGAAGAUAAUGACGGUAGUCGGAGAAGAAGCCCCGGCUAACUUCGUGCCAGCCGCCGCAGUAA